rnacentral:rRNA from 1 species
CAAGUCGAGCGAACGGACGAGAAGCUUGCUUCUCUGAUGUUAGCGGCGGACGGGUGAGUAACACGUGGAUAACCUACCUAUAAGACUGGGAUAACUUCGGGAAACCGGAGCUAAUACCGGAUAAUAUUUUGAACCGCAUGGUUCAAAAGUGAAAGACGGUCUUGCUGUCACUUAUAGAUGGAUCCGCGCUGCAUUAGCUAGUUGGUAAGGUAACGGCUUACCAAGGCAACGAUGCAUAGCCGACCUGAGAGGGUGAUCGGCCACACUGGAACUGAGACACGGUCCAGACUCCUACGGGAGGCAGCAGUAGGGAAUCUUCCGCAAUGGGCGAAAGCCUGACGGAGCAACGCCGCGUGAGUGAUGAAGGUCUUCGGAUCGUAAAACUCUGUUAUUAGGGAAGAACAUAUGUGUAAGUAACCGUGCACAUCUUGACGGUACCUAAUCAGAAAGCCACGGCUAACUACGUGCCAGCAGCCGCGGUAAUACGUAGGCGGCAAGCGUUAUCCGGAAUUAUUGGGCGUAAAGCGCGCGUAGGCGGUUUUUUAAGUCUGAUGUGAAAGCCCACGGCUCAACCGUGGAGGGUCAUUGGAAACUGGAAAACUUGAGUGCAGAAGAGGAAAGUGGAAUUCCAUGUGUAGCGGUGAAAUGCGCAGAGAUAUGGAGGAACACCAGUGGCGAAGGCGACUUUCUGGUCUGUAACUGACGCUGAUGUGCGAAAGCGUGGGGAUCAAACAGGAUUA